GACGAACGCUGGCGGCGUGCUUAACACAUGCAAGUCGAACGGAAGGGCCCCCUUGUGGGGUACUCGAGUGGCGAACGGGUGAGUAACACGUGAGUAACCUACCCUUGACUUUGGGAUAACUUCAGGAAACUGGGGCUAAUACCGGAUAGGAGCUCCUGCUGCAUGGUGGGGGUUGGAAAGUUUCGGCGGUUGGGGAUGGACUCGCGGCUUAUCAGCUUGUUGGUGGGGUAGUGGCUCACCAAGGCUUUGACGGGUAGCCGGCCUGAGAGGGUGACCGGCCACAUUGGGACUGAGAUACGGCCCAGACUCCUACGGGAGGCAGCAGUGGGGAAUAUUGCACAAUGGGCGGAAGCCUGAUGCAGCAACGCCGCGUGCGGGAUGACGGCCUUCGGGUUGUAAACCGCUUUCGCCUGUGACGAAGCGUGAGUGACGGUAAUGGGUAAAGAAGCACCGGCUAACUACGUG
rnacentral:rRNA from 1 species